rnacentral:lncRNA from 1 species
GAAUAUUGAUAUGAUUAUUAAAUCACAAUAAAAACUUGUUUUUCUAUUUCAUGCAAUCUAGAAAAACUUAUUCAGCAUGAAAUUAAUAAACAAAAACUAAUUAAGCAAACCUAUUUAUUACUUUUUUGGGUGAAAUUCUCCAUAGACGUGUGGCCAAUAAAUUUUAUACAUAUCUAUUAUGGUUUUUUGAAUUUCUUUAUUUGGGUCUAGCUCUCCAUCUGCAAAAACUGUAAAUCCAUUUGAAUCGAAUUUAGGUUGAACGUUUUUGUCUUUUUCCGUUUCUUGAACAAAUCCAUCUCCAGGGUGAAACUCUCCUCCAUCUUCAUAAUAAAACGUUUUGUUUAGAUCAAAUCCAUGAUGAACUUUUUUUCUUUUCUCCGUUUCUUGAACAACCUCUGCUUCUUCCACCUUCUGAACAUUUUCCAAUUGAAUCGUUUCUUGUUUCAUUUUUUCUAUAAACAUGAAAUGAUCAAAAAUUAAUAUCAAAACAAAACAUGAUACACCUUCUCAAAACCACAUAAGCCAAGAGAUAUAUUCCAAAUUAAACCCCAAAACCUAACAACUUAAUCUAACAUAAACAUAUAUUCAAAAGAAAAAUUAAUAACAACUUACAUGUUUUCGGAGUUUGUAGAGAGGAGUGAGAGGAAUGAGAGGAAUUCCAAAAUAAAU